CACGUCCGUUGUGUCCUGAGCAAGACACUUCACCCUUGCUCCUGAUGGGUUCUGGUUGGCGCCUUGCAUGGCAGCUCCCUCCAUCAGUGUGUGAAUGUGUGUGUGAAUGGGUAAAUGUGGAAGUAGUGUCAAAGCGCUUUGAGUACCUUCAAGGUAGAAAAGCGCUAUACAAGUACAACCCAUUUAUCAUUUAUCAUUGAACUGUGAUGCCUCCAAACUGAGAAUCCCGUGACCCAAGUGGACUCACAGUCUCACAAUUUGCACUGUUUUACAGGACACUGUUAUUAAAGAAAUUCAUAAUCCACCUGGUGCCAGUGAUAUGUUGAAGGGACAGCAGUGUGGAGCUGCAUUUUGCCACAUCCAGUUGUGGACCGUCACAUAUAUAUAUAAGUGUCACCAGGACGUCCCCUGGCCCUAACACUCCAUGAAGGACAUUUACGGCCAUUGACUUUUGUCUUAUAUGGACAUUCACAUGGACAUUGUUAACAUCCAUAUUAUCAACCUUUCUGUUUGGUCCUUGUGUGCCAGCUGUUUAAUGGCAAAUGUUUUUGAAGAAACUGCAAAUGUUCAGUUUUGCACAUUUUA